ensembl:ncRNA W01A11.12 ncRNA
UUAUCGGAAAUAAGGAAAAAAGCGGUGUUUAGAAUAGAAAGAAAAAGAGUUCAAAAGACGUUCCUAAAAUUCUCAAGUGGUCCUCACUUUUGUGCUCUCUUAAUUAAUCCUUGAAAGGGUAGAAGGAGGGCUCAUCUUGAAUCUUUCAUUCCAAUUUCUUUUCCCACAAACAAUAAAAUGCAUAAUACCUAAUGAGCUUUU